rnacentral:rRNA from 1 species
GACGAACGCUGGCGGCGUGCUUAACACAUGCAAGUCGAACGGAAAGGCCCUGCUUUUGUGGGGUGCUCGAGGGGCGAAGGGGUGAGUAACACGUGAGUAACCUGCCCUUGACUUUGGGAUAACUUCAGGAAACUGGGGCUAAUAUCGGAUAGGAGCUCCUGCUGCAUGGUGGGGGUUGGAAAGUUUCGGCGGUUGGGGAUGGACUCGCGGCUUAUCAGCUUGUUGGUGGGGUAGUGGAUUACCAAGGCUUUGACCGGUAGCCGGCCUGAGAGGGUGACCGGCGACAAUGCGACUGAGAGACGGACCAGACUCGUAUGGGAGGCAGCAGUGGGGAAUAUUGCACAACGGGCGCGAGCCUGAUGCAGCGACGCCGCGUGCGGGAUGACGGCCUUCGGGUUGUGAACCGCUUUCGCCUGUGACGAAGCGGGAGUGACGGUAAUGGGUAAAGAAGCACCGGCUAACUACGUG